rnacentral:rRNA from 1 species
GACGAACGCUGGCGGCGUGCUUAACACAUGCAAGUCGAACGGAAAGGCCCUGCUUGCAGGGUACUCGAGUGGCGAACGGGUGAGUAACACGUGGGUGAUCUGCCCUGCACUUCGGGAUAAGCCUGGGAAACUGGGUCUAAUACCGGAUAGGAGCCAUUUUUAGUGUGAUGGUUGGAAAGUUUUUUUCGGUGUAGGAUGAGCUCGCCGCCUAUCAGCUUUUUGGUGGGGUAAUGGCCUACCAAGGCGGCGACGGGUAGCCGGCCUGAGAGGGUGGACGGCCACAUUGGGACUGAGAUACGGCCCAGACUCCUAAGGGAGGCAGAAGUGGGGAAGAUUGCACAAUGGGCGCAAGCCUGAUGCAGCGACGCCGCGUGGGGGAUGACGGCCUUCGGGUUGUAAACGCCUUUCGCUAGGGACGAAGCUGUUUGUGACGGUACCUAGAGAAGAAGCACCGGCUAACUACGUG